rnacentral:rRNA from 1 species
AUGGCAGCUGCUGCGGCUGCUGCAGUUGCCCGGCGAGUGCGGCGAAGGCCGCUUGGUGAGGCAGCCGCCACGGCAGCCACAGCAGCGCGGGGGCGGCGGUGGGUGCUGGAGGCGCGGCAAGAGCCGGCGCCGGCCACUGUGGGGCAGCGGCGGGCGGCCGCGGCGGCUGAAGCUAGGGCUACAGCAUCCCAGCAAACGCCCCGGAGGCCCUUGGAUGCGGCAAGUACCACGGUAGGGCCGGCGGCCCGAUGGCGGCGGUCGGCGGUGGCCCGUAGGGGCUGGCCAGGUACAGCCGGAUCCCCUGGACGGCUAUGA